GACGAACGCUGGCGGCGUGCCUAAUACAUGCAAGUUGAGCGCUGAAGGUUGGUACUUGUACCAACUGGAUGUGCAGCGCACGGGUGAGUAACGCGUGGGGAAUCUGCCUUUGAGCGGGGGACAACAUUUGGAAACGAAUGCUAAUACCGCAUAAAAACUUUAAACACAAGUUUUAAGGUUGAAAGAUGCAAUUGCAUCACUCAAAGAUGAUCCCUCGUUGUAUUAGGUAGUUGGUGAGGUAAAGGCUCACCAAGGCGAUGAUACAUAGCCGACCUGAGAGGGUGAGUGGCCAGACUGGGAGGGAGACACGGCACAAAGGGCCACGGGAGGCAGCAGUAGGGAAACGUCGGGAAUGGACGAGAGUCUGAGCGAGCAACGCCGCGGGAGUGAAGAAGGUUGUCGGAUCGGGAAACUCGGUUGGUAGGGGAGAAAGUUGGUGAGAGUGGAAAGCUCAUCAAGUGACGGUAACUACUCAGAAAGGGGCGGCUAACUACGUG
rnacentral:rRNA from 1 species